rnacentral:sRNA from 1 species
UGCCAAGGCUGCAAAAGCUUCAAACACUUCUACACCUACCAAGGGGAACACGGAAACUAGUGCCAGUGCAUCACAAACAAACCAUGUGAAGGAUGUGAAGAAAAUUAAAAUUGAACAUGCACCUUCUCCCUCAAGUGGUGGAACUUUAAAAAAUGACAAAGCAAAAACAAAGCCACCUCUUCAGGUAACGAAGGUGGAAAAUAAUUUGAUUGUAGAUAAAGCCACCAAGAAAGCAGUCAUAGUUGGAAAGGAGAGUAAAUCUGCUGCUACAAAGGAGGAAUCAGUAUCUCUUAAAGAGAAAACCAAACCACUUACACCAAGCAUAGGAGCCAAGGAGAAGGAGCAACAUGUAGCUUUAGUCACCUCUACAUUACCACCGUUACCUUUGCCUCCCAUGCUGCCUGAAGAUAAAGAAGCUGAUAGCUUACGAGGAAAUAUUUCAGUAAAAGCAGUUAAAAAAGAAGUAGAAAAGAAACUCCGAUGUCUUCUUGCUGAUUUACCGCUGCCCCCUGAGCUACCAGGAGGAGAUGAUCUUUCAAAGAGUCCAGAGGAAAAGAAAACAGCAACACAGUUACAUAGUAAAAGGAGGCCUAAAAUAUGUGGGCCUCGCUAUGGUGAAAUCAAAGAAAAAGAUAUUGACUGGGGAAAACGCUGCGUGGAUAAAUUUGAUAUCAUCGGAAUUAUUGGAGAAGGUACUUACGGACAAGUUUACAAAGCCAGGGAUAAAGACACUGGAGAAAUGGUAGCCUUAAAAAAAGUACGUCUGGAUAAUGAAAAGGAAGGCUUUCCAAUUACAGCAAUUCGAGAAAUUAAAAUUCUCCGGCAGCUUACCCAUCAGAGUAUUAUCAAUAUGAAGGAAAUAGUGACUGAUAAAGAAGAUGCUUUGGAUUUCAAGAAGGACAAAGGUGCAUUUUAUCUGGUGUUUGAAUAUAUGGACCAUGAUCUGAUGGGACUACUGGAAUCAGGCUUGGUUCAUUUUAAUGAAAAUCACAUAAAGUCAUUUAUGAGACAGCUCAUGGAGGGUCUGGAUUAUUGUCAUAAGAAGAACUUUUUGCAUAGAGAUAUUAAAUGUUCCAAUAUCCUUCUAAAUAAUAGAGGGCAGAUAAAACUUGCAGACUUUGGACUUGCUCGAUUGUAUAGCUCAGAAGAAAGUCGGCCGUAUACUAACAAGGUAAUUACUUUAUGGUACCGUCCACCUGAACUGCUACUGGGAGAAGAACGAUACACACCAGCCAUUGAUGUUUGGAGCUGUGGCUGUAUCCUUGGCGAACUCUUCACUAAAAAACCUAUAUUUCAAGCAAAUCAGGAACUUGCACAACUAGAAUUAAUAAGACAUGAAGAAAAUGAAAGGAAGUUUCUGAUAAAGGAAACAAAUCUGACUAUAAUGAGGCAACGGAGUAUACCGAAAAGUGUGUGGCCUUUAGAAUCUUACAGGGUUGGGUUCUAAUGCCAGCUCAGCUACUUCCUGCGCUUAUGGUUUAGGGUCCCAUAUGCUCUUAAGUUUUUUUCUUCAAAAGUAAAAGAGGACUGAUAACAUGCUUAGGGUUGUGAGAAUUAAAUGUAAAUAAGUUUUCAGUACAUAUUUCUUCCCUCACCUUAUUUACAGUAAUGCUAGAUUGUUUCUCUAUAGGCUCAGGAAUGAUGAGACCUAGUGUCAGUAUUGUACAGAUACAUGUAAAACUGAUCAAGAGUGAUAACACUAAUUUGCUUUAAAUGGCUUUACACCAUAGUGAAUGAGUUAUUUUAUUUAUAAUUUGCUUUGUUCCAGAAAGUAUUUUAGGCAGAUUACAAAUAUUUUAUAAUAGAAGUAGCAUAGAUUAAAAAGUGAUGGAGGGAGGCCGGGCACAGUGGCUCAUACCUGUAAUCCCAGCACUUUGGGAGGCCGAGGCAGGUAGAUCAUCUGAGGUCAGCAGUUUGAGACCAGCCUGGCUAACAUGGUGAAACCCCGUCUCUGCUAAAAUACAAAACAAGCCGGGCACAGUGGCUCAUGCCUGUAAUCCUAGCACUUUGGGAGGCCGAGGCGGACAGGUCAUGAGGUCAUGAGGUCAGGAGAUAGAGACUAUCCUGGCUAACAUGGUGAAACCCCGUCUCUACCAAAACUACAAAAAAAAAAAAAAA